rnacentral:rRNA from 1 species
UACGUAGGGCGCAAGCGUUUGUCCGGAAUUAUUGGGCGUAAAGAGCUCGUAGGCGGCUUGUCACGUCGGGUGUGAAAGCCCGGGGCUUAACCCCGGGUCUGCAUUCGAUACGGGCAGGCUAGAGUGUGGUAGGGGAGAUCGGAAUUCCUGGUGUAGCGGUGAAAUGCGCAGAUAUCAGGAGGAACACCGGUGGCGAAGGCGGAUCUCUGGGCCAUAACUGACGCUGAGGAGCGAAAGCAUGGGGAGCGAACAGG